UUAGCGGCGGACGGGUGAGUAACACGUGGGUAACCUGCCCAGUAAGACUGGGAUAACUCCGGGAAACCGGGGCUAAUACCGGAUAACAUUUUGAACUGCAUGGUUCAAAAUUGAAAGGCGGCUUCGGCUGUCACUUAUGGAUGGACCCGCGUCGCAUUAGCUAGUUGGUGAGGUAACGGCUCACCAAGGCAACGAUGCGUAGCCGACCUGAGAGGGUGAUCGGCCACACUGGGACUGAGACACGGCCCAGACUCCUACGGGAGGCAGCAGUAGGGAAUCUUCCGCAAUGGACGAAAGUCUGACGGAGCAACGCCGCGUGAGUGAUGAAGGCUUUCGGGUCGUAAAACUCUGUUGUUAGGGAAGAACAAGUGCUAGUUGAAUAGCCUGGCACCUUGACGGUACCUAACCAAAAAGCCACGGCUAACUACGUGCCAGCAGCCGCGGUAAUACGUAGGUGGCAAGCGUUAUCCGGAAUUAUUGGGCGUAAAGCGCGCGCAGGUGGUUUCUU
rnacentral:rRNA from 1 species